rnacentral:rRNA from 1 species
UACAGAGGUCCCCAAGCGUUGUUCGGAUUCACUGGGCGUAAAGGGUGCGUAGGUGGCGAUUUAAGUCGGGUGUGAAAUCUCCGGGCUCAACCCGGAGGGUGCGCCCGAAACUGAGUUGCUAGAGGAUGGGAGGGGAGACUGGAAUUCUCGGUGUAGCAGUGAAAUGCGUAGAUAUCGAGAGGAACACCGGUGGCGAAGGCGAGUCUCUGGACCAUUUCUGACGCUCAGACGCGAAAGCUAGGGUAGCGAACGGGAUUAGAAACCCUUGUAGU